UAUGUAGGGGGCAAGCGUUGUCCGGAAUCAUUGGGCGUAAAGCGCGCGUAGGCGACUCGAUCAGUCUGCUGUAAAAGUCAAAGGCUCAACCUUUGAAUGCCGGUGGAUACUGUCGGGCUAGAGUCCGGAAGAGGCGAGUGGAAUUCCUGGUGUAGCGGUGGAAUGCGCAGAUAUCAGGAGGAACACCAACGGCGAAGGCAGCUCGCUGGGACGGUACUGACGCUAAGGCGCGAAAGCGUGGGGAGCGAACAGG
rnacentral:rRNA from 1 species